rnacentral:rRNA from 1 species
UACGUAGGGUGCAAGCGUUGUCCGGAAUUAUUGGGCGUAAAGAGCUCGUAGGCGGUCUGUCGCGUCGGAUGUGAAAACCCGGGGCUUAACCCCGGGCCUGCAUUCGAUACGGGCAGACUCGAGUGUGGUAGGGGAGACUGGAACUCCUGGUGUAGCGGUGAAAUGCGCAGAUAUCAGGAGGAACACCGGUGGCGAAGGCGGAUCUCUGGGCCUUACCUGACGCUGAGGCGCGAAAGCUAGGGGAGCGAACAGG